rnacentral:lncRNA from 1 species
ACCAGCAUGCAUAUCAACGCUGUUCAUGGAAAUUCUGGAGAUGCUGUUGGAAUGGAUAAACAUGCUUGAGCUUCUCUAGUAACAUUUGUCAGGUGCUUAGCUGAGCUGGAGAGAGAUGAGCUCACAGGUGUCAGAGUAGCUGCUUAAAAUCAAGCAAAAAGGAAAGUCACAGUCAAGCCUUUCAUCACUUCCUACAAUACUAUCAACAAGAGGCUAAAACGGAAAUUCCUCCAGAGAAGACCCUGAGACAAAGAUGUGGAUGUAAGUUGAAGAAGAACAUGAUUGAGCACUUGGGAGCAAAACAGAGGAGAGAUGACAGUCAACACAAGGU